rnacentral:rRNA from 1 species
GAUUAUUGGGCCUANAGCAUCCGUAGCCGGCUCUGUAAGUUUUCGGUUAAAUCUGUACGCUCAACGUACAGGCUGCCGGGAAUACUGCAGAGCUAGGGAGUGGGAGAGGUAGACGGUACUCGGUAGGAAGNGGUAAAAUGCUUUGAUCUAUCGAUGACCACCUGUGGCGAAGGCGGUCUACCAGAACACGUCCGACGGUGAGGGAUGAAAGCUGGGGGAGCAAACCGGAUUAGAUACCCGGGUAGUCCCAGCUGUAAACUAUGCAAACUCAGUGAUGCAUUGGCUUGUGGCCAAUGCAGUGCUGCAGGGAAGCCGUUAAGUUUGCCGCCUGGGAAGUACGUACGCAAGUAUGAAACUUAAAGGAAUUGGCGGGGGAGCAC